rnacentral:rRNA from 1 species
ACGUAGGAUGCAAGCGUUGUCCGGAAUUAUUGGGCGUAAAGAGUUCGCAGGCGGUUUAUCAAGUCUGGUGUUAAAGUCCGGAGCUCAACUCCGGUUCGGCAUUGGAUACUGGUAGACUAGAGUGCAGAAGAGGCAAGGGGAAUUCCCAGUGUAGCGGUGAAAUGCGUAGAUAUUGGGAGGAACACCAGUGGCGUAAGCGCCUUGCUGGGCUGUUACUGACGCUGAGGAACGAAAGCCAGGGGAGCAAAUGG